AGCCUGCUUGCCACACACACAGUGAAGAUGCCCUCAUUCACACCUGUUCUGUUCAAAACAAACAUGAUACAUACAGAAAUGAAAACCAUCUUGCUGUAGGGGUACCUAUUAUUGAAUGGCUGUGGUGAGAUGACGGAGGUGGAGUCGGCGUUAGACUUUGCAUCCUCAGGCCGGUCAGGUCGACGUAAUGCUCUUCCUAACAUUUUGGGCUCUCCAGCUGGUGUCAAUCCAUCUGACCUGCCCCUCACACUAGCUGAACUCUCCCUCACAGAUGGUCCUGAAGGAGCUCAGUCUCCCGCAUCACAGGAAACACCAAUCCCUUCAGAGAGUUUAGAGAAGAAACAGUGAUCCUAAUAACUAAUUUUCUCAUCCUCCAGUCAACACCUGUACUAUUAGAAGGAAGUACUCGGCUGAUAAGAUGUCUGUGCUGCAGAAUAACAAUUCAUUUUCGGCACAGACUAUGACUCUGUGCCUGUUGACAUUAAUAGAGGAUUCAGACUCAUUGCUUUUGUUUGUUGUUGAUGAGACGAGGUGAGGUGAGAUGUUUCAGAUUACCUCGUUCACCUGGCCUAAUUAUGUAAGAAAUGAUUUGAAACAUAGCAAUAUCCUGGUCAUGCACAUGCUGCUAAGAGCAUAAUUGAACAGAAUAUGUAAUAUGCACACAUACACAAAAUAGCAAUGUGUUUAUAUAUUUGAUCAAAAUUUGUAGGUAGCAUUGAAAUUGUUUAAUUUUUUUUAGCACUUUAUGCUGUAGAUUGAUGUAAAUCAACUUUACAGCAUGAAAGAUAAAUAGGCUGUGAUGGCAUUACUUUCAAUUAAGACAAUAUUCAAUAUACAGUUUUCAAACUGAACAGAGCAUAUUAAACUGAAAAAAAAAUGUCCACAUCUACUAAUUAUGGAGCAGUGUUACUGUCGUUAAAUUAUUUUGGCCUGAUUUUGCUCAUAGGGGCUGCUCUCCUGUUUGUACAUCUAUCAGGGCCCUAAGUGACAAGAAACACAAGAAAGUGGCUUAGAAACCGCCAGUAUUGUUACUAAUUAAUUACAAAUAAUUAUGUUAACUAUGAUGAAGCUAAAAUAUAUAAAUAUUUUCUUGCAGAAUAACUUAAACAACAUAAGUUCAAGUUAAGAAACCACACCAAUGAAAAUACA